AGGAAAACUAUUUGUUUCGCAAGAUGUUUCGCUCUUUAGUAUGCCCUCCGGCAUUUGGUCCCGCGAAACGGUCCCAAAAUUUUGGUCCGUUUCGCACAGCUUUUCCGCAUUUUAGGCGUUUCGCGUUUCGCGUUUCGCUUUCGCAGUUUAGGGACGCCCUUGUUAGUGCAUGAAGUACAGCUGGCAGUCCCUUCAUGGUUACUGUUGUGUCUUACGUUUCGAUGCAGUACUUAACCUAUAAAGUGAUCUAUUAAGUAUUUCAAAGUGUUUGUUAAGUAGCAUAAUGUUGUAAAGCAGAUAAGCUUUGACAAUUUUCAUCGGUCGUUGUCUUGUAGAUUCCAUGAAAGUCAUGCAUAUUCAAAGUUGGCUCAGUUAAAGGCUAAUCCAUGUGAAAUAUGAAUUGAAAGAUCUUAACUGUUCUCCUGCUAACAGUUGUAUGCCUAGUGAAUUAAUUAAACAGUCCAUGUGGGAAAAAUAUUUAAUAAUCCAGACUGUUCAUCUAUUACCAGUUUUAUAUGAAGUAAAUUUAGACUGACGUCUGACACAAAGGCAAAAUAUCCAACUAAAAUUCUCUUCAUAUUUGUGGUGUGAUGAUCAGAUAUAUAUGGAAAAUAUUCUAGGGAAUGACGCCUCAAAAGAAAAAACUGUUGUUGCAAUCUUCAACAAUCUUGCUAAGUCUCGAUUAGCUAGAGCAGGGAUCCUUUUCAUUUUACUGUUUUAAAUUUUAAACAUUUGUUCUUUACAACGCUAGAUGGUUAUACGAUGGCUUAGAUUGUUUUCAGCGGUAAAAAACAUUAGUUUCAGUGUUUCAGUUACUUUUCCUAUACACUUUUCUUGUUUGUUUGCAAAACUGAAAAAAAUCAUCGAAGAAUUCUUCGUCAACGUCAAUUUUGUUAUGCCUAAAAACAGUGCAGGAAGAAUUCAUCCCGUUAACGCUAUUUCGUGUGCCCUGACACGCAGGAUACGAACUACUUGUAAUCUAAAAUUGAGCGAAGAUGGUGGACAAGAGUAGCAACGCAGAAGCUGCUCACCUCUGGAAGCUGGCGUUGAGCGAAUGAAAUCAAAACGAAUUUCGAUGCUGAAAGACUUGGAAACCAUGCUGUCCACCACAUCGAGAAGCUGAGUAACAUUCUGCUUGUGCAAUGGUGCCUCUUAAUAAAAGGAACUUGAGCCAUCCAAUCUAGGGCUUCCUUCCAAUCGUGCAGGCUUCAUGGAAGUCACAUUUACCUUUGCUGUGAACAUCGUGAACACAUACACUAUUUGAAGGUUCAUGUUUAUGGAGCAGUGGUGUUGCUGUCCAAUGUGGUGUGUUGUUGCAGCCUAUGGUGGUGAAAGAUAUCUGCAUCAAGUUGCUGUUCCUUUGUGCAUCCAAGGUGCUGGUUUUGUGCUACAGAAGUGACAUCCAAUAUUGUGUUCAAUUGCUAUUUGUGCCUUCGCAGUUUAUCUUUAUAUAUUGAGAAGGAACAAAAAAAAGUAUUACGGGGAGGUUUAUGUCAAAGAAAUAAUAAACAUGUCCGGGAUGGGGGAAUGAGGAGGAAGUUGGGGUGGGGUAUUUGGUUAUGAUUUACUAAAAGAAGUGAGGUAUAUUUGUAAUGAAUAUGCAGUACUUGGUGAUAAAAUCUGUUGUUAACCUAUACCUUC